GAUGAACGCUGGCGGCGUGCCUAAUACAUGCAAGUCGAGCGAACAGAUGAGGAGCUUGCUCCUCUGACGUUAGCGGCGGACGGGUGAGUAACACGUGGAUAACCUACCUAUAAGACUGGGAUAACUUCGGGAAACCGGAGCUAAUACCGGAUAAUAUAUUGAACCGCAUGGUUCAAUAGUGAAAGACGGUUUUGCUGUCACUUAUAGAUGGAUCCGCGCCGCAUUAGCUAGUUGGUAAGGUAACGGCUUACCAAGGCAACGAUGCGUAGCCGACCUGAGAGGGUGAUCGGCCACCCUGGAACUGGAACACGGUCCAGACUCCUACGGGAGGCAGCAGUAGGGAAUCUUCCGCAAUGGGCGAAAGCUUGACGGAGCAACGCCGCGUGAGUGAUGAAGGUCUUCGGAUCGUAAAACUCUGUUAUUAGGGAAGAACAAAUGUGUAAGUAACUAUGCACGUCUUGACGGUACCUAAUCAGAAAGCCACGGCUAACUACGUG
rnacentral:rRNA from 1 species